GAUGAACGCUGGCGGCGUGCCUAAUACAUGCGAGUCGAGCGAACAGACGAGGAGCUUGCUCCUCUGACGUUAGCGGCGGACGGGUGAGUAACACGUGGAUAACCUACCUAUAAGACUGGGAUAACUUCGGGAAACCGGAGCUAAUACCGGAUAACAUGUUGAACCGCAUGGUUUAACAGUGAAAGACGGUCUUGCUGUCACUUAUAGAUGGAUCCGCGCCGCAUUAGCUAGUUGGUAAGGUAACGGCUUACCAAGGCAACGACGCGUAGCCGACCUGAGAGGGUGAUCGGCCACCCUGGAACUGAGACACGGUCCAGACUCCUACGGGAGGCAGCAGUAGGGAAUCUUCCGCAAUGGGCGAAAGCCUGACGGAGCAACGCCGCGUGAGUGAAGAAGGUCUUCGGAUCGGAAAACUCUGUUAGUAGGGAAGAACAAAUGUGUAAGUAACUAUGCACGUCUUGACGGUACCUAAUCAGAAAGCCACGGCUAACUACGUG
rnacentral:rRNA from 1 species